rnacentral:lncRNA from 1 species
GGCUCGGGUCGGAGUGUCCCACACUCUGGAGCAUCCCAUGCUCUGCUCUUACUCACCCACGAACACAUAGUAAGCAGGGAGGAGUACUAAUAGGCUAGCUAGCAAUAAAUAUGACGACCCAGGUAUGGUGGGUCAAAAUCAUACGAAAAUCGAAAAUCAGUAAGGCUUCCCCAUAAGUCCCGCGAAUAAAGAAAACACGGGUACGAUUCCCAACCGUACCCGGAAAUUCUGGUAGAAAGUCACAUAAAUCGACAGCGUGUCCCACACGCUAAAAGAAUAAUUAGAUCAUCAUCAAGGCAUUCCCAAUGCCAAAACCGAAGGUCGAUAAAUAAAUAUGAAAACUAACUCCAUCGAAAUCUCAUUUCGAAAAUCUCUUAUAAAAUCUCAAAUCAACGAAUAGAAACAUAAUAUAAGUAGUAUAAUUCCGGAAAUCACCUCGGAAAUAAUUCGUCGAAAAUCAUGCUUGCAAAUAAAAGUCAUAUAUCGGAGAUACUUAUCGAAGACUCAAAAUCCAUUUCCGAAAUUAAAUCAUAAAUCCAAAUCCGAGCAUAAUAAGUUCAUAUCCGAAACUCAAGAAAAAUCAAUG